GGGUUGUGAGGUUAAGCGACCAAGCGUACACGGUGGAUGCCCUGGCAGUCAGAGGCGAUGAAGGACGUGCUAAUCUGCGAAAAGCGUCGGUAAGGUGAUAUGAACCGCUAUAACCGACGAUGUCCGAAUGGGGAAACCCAGUGCAAUUCGUUGCACUAUCGUUAACUGAAUACAUAGGUUAACGAGGCGAACCGGGGGAACUGAAACAUCUAAGUACCCCGAGGAAAAGAAAUCAACCGAGAUUCCCCCAGUAGCGGCGAGCGAACGGGGAGAAGCCCAGAGUCUGAAUCAGCAUGUGUGUUAGUGGAAGCGUCUGGAAAGUCGCAGGGUACAGGGUGAUACUCCCGUACACGAAAGUACACAUGCUGUGAGCUCGAUGAGUAGGGCGGGACACGUGACAUCCUGUCUGAAUAUGGGGGGACCAUCCUCCAAGGCUAAAUACUCCUGACUGACCGAUAGUGAACCAGUACCGUGAGGGAAAGGCGAAAAGAACCCCGGCGAGGGGAGUGAAAAAGAACCUGAAACCGUGUACGUACAAGCAGUGGGAGCAUCCUUCGGGGUGUGACUGCGUACCUUUUGUAUAAUGGGUCAGCGAC
rnacentral:rRNA from 1 species